GGCGUGGACUAGACUAAUUUCUUCAUUUCACCUGGCGAGCGACGACACCUGACGGACAUCGCAUUUGUCGAUGCUGAAGCUCUUCGCGUGGCGUCGGACAACCUCUCGAGGCCUACCCAAAAUCACGCCCUUACCCUCAUCCCCAAUGCUCUGUGUCUCUCGACUUCUGAGCCACUCUCCGUUAUCUGAUGAAGACGACGACAUUUACGACCCUCCAUUCUCAGCUACCUCCAAAACCCUCCUUAAACCCCGGGCCGGGAGACAACACAAGAAGAAAAAUGAACAAAAGAAAGCUCGAGGAGGGAAAAAGGGUUCCUCGAAUGUGCUUGAUUCCCGAAAUGCCCUGAAUUUUCCGGUAAAGUCGGACCUACCCUUUGAUUUCAAGUACUCCUACUCUGAGACCAACCCGGAUGUGAAGCCAAUCGGGUUUCGCGAACCGCCGAGGUUCUCUCCUUUUGGUCCUGGUCGGCUUGACCGGAAAUGGACCGGGACGUCGGCCCCGGCGGAAGAGUCUGUGGAUUCGGAGAAGUUGGCCGAGCAACGGAAUAAGGUUCUUGGGGAACCUUUAAUGGAGGAGGAGAUUGCAGAGCUCGUGGAGAAAUAUAGGCAUAGUGAUUGUUCUCGCCAAAUCAAUCUAGGGAAAGGAGGAGUUACUCACAACAUGCUGGAAGACAUUCAUAACCAUUGGAAGAGGGCUGAAGCUGUGAGGAUUAAGUGCUUAGGGGUGCCAACUCUUGACAUGGACAAUGUUUGUUUUCAUCUCGAGGAUCACAGUGCGCUUGUAGGAUAAAUCUGGUGGGAUGAUAAUUUAUCGUCAGAGUAACGUUCUCCUGCUAUACAGAGGUCGGAACUAUGAUCCUAAAAAUAGACCAGUCAUUCCUUUGAUGCUGUGGAAGCCAUAUGCACCAAUAUAUCCAAAGCUUGUGAAGCCUGUUGCUGAUGGCCUGACAUUUGACGAGGCAAAGGAGAUGAGAAACAAAGGGCUCAACUCUGAUCCCAUAAUGAAACUCACCAGGAAUGGUGUGUAUGUGAAUGUGGUGGACAGAGUGAGAGAUGCAUUUAAGACCAAGGAAGUUGUUAGACUAGAUUGUGCACACGUGGGGACUAGUGACUGCAAAAGGAUAGGAGUUAAGUUACGGGAUCUGGUACCUUGUACUCCUAUCUUGUUCAAGGACGAACAAAUAAUACUUUGGCGGGGAAGGAAUGAUCAGAUAUACAGCUCAAGUGCAGUGGAACUUGCAACUUAAAAAGAUGCUAGAAGUAGAAAGUCGUAUACUUGGAGUUGAGCUCAUUAACUUGGGUUUACAUCUUGCUUCAUUUCCUCCAUUAAUCACCAACCAGAUUUGGGAAGCAUGAGCUGACUGCUUUAUUCUGGGAUGAGGUCUUCCUGACUUUAUGGCUGAUAAUUUGCCUAUUCGCAGUUUUGAGUCCUAGGUUGUUGGCACAUGAUAUGAUUGAAAGGUUAAAAAUUGAAAGCACUCGGUAGAAAGGUGGAAUCUUAUAGGCUAUAUAGCUAACGGAUUGGAGUACCAAUUUUAUAUUAGACUGUAGAGUAAUCGCCUCCCAUUUUGUCAUUCGUAUUUAGUGUCCCGCUGUGGAACGAUGCCAUUGUUGCGUAAAAACCUUUUUUCUUUUCGUCCAAAUUUUAUUUAUCAAACAGAUUGCAACUACUGAUGCUGUGUGUUGUCUCUCUCUCUCUCUCACACACACACACACAGAGUUUGCGCAGCUCAGCAUAUACCAGCUCCAGACGCUUCCUAGUAGCUAACAAAAUCUUGGGCGAUGGCAAAUUUGGAUGUCGGCAACACGAUGAGGAUUUUCUUGCUGUCUGUCCGGAUCCCUUGAAGGAACCAAUCAAACUGUACUCAAAAGCUGAUAUCUAGUUUCUCUUACCUUUGAAAAAAUCUUAUCCUCGAACUUUCCACAGUUCCAGAAGACAUAGGACCCAGAUUAAUGAAGAUCACGUUAAUGUCCUGCUUUGCCCAAGGGCCCUGGUUUUAAAUUCAAAGUGCCGAGUACUUUUAAGGAUUCAAUCCACCUUCAGAAAAUAACACCCUGGAUUUAAACUCACAUACCGUAAGUAAUCUUCUUAUACAGCAAUUUAAGGAUUCAGUCCACUUCCAGAAGAAAGGAAGGUACAUACCGUUCUUACAAUACCUUACAAUACAUAAUAACAGUACAACACUUGCAGAUUUGCACUCCUCUAACUAUGCUGGUAUUAUACACUGCUUCAGGAGUUUGUGCAGUAGUUCAUUUAAUUAGGCACCCCCUUGAGAGAACAGUUUUACGGCUGCAAUAGGAGCUUUCUCAAGUCACGACUCUCUUCAAGAAUGCAACCCGAACUCCUUAGAGUGGUUAUCCAGACCUCAUCGGACCUCACUGGUUCAUCAUCGUCAUUCCUAUGCCAGCUCCAGAAAGCAUGAGUGGAAUUCACUAUCUUGAGCUCACCAUGACCAAAACUUGCUUCGCGGAACACUGA